rnacentral:lncRNA from 1 species
GCCCCCCAGGUCUCUCACCCAGAUCACCCUCUUCCUCAAAAGCUGAAUGAUGCCUUUUCCUGCACGUCAAGUAACGUCUAAAGGCUUUGUCAUUUUGCCUCUGGAAUCUAUGACCAGGUGUCUUCUUGCACCCAAACCUUGAUGUGAUUUUGCACAGACUGAACUUUCACCCUCUGUACAUCAACUGUGAGCCAAAAUGCUGCCUUGGCAGCGGCAGCGGCUGACAGAACCACUCUGAGAGGCCCGCCCAGGGAAGUGGGCCUCGACCACAGCCCUUAGGAAGACUGCUGAGCAAAACAAACUUUAAUUCUUAAAGACUUAAUUUUGUUUUAGGAGACACUUAGCAUCCCUGCCGCCCUCCGUCUCCACCUGGGAACAGCUUGCAACAAGUGUGGCCUCACUGCAAACCAGUGACAGACUUGGUGACAGAUUUGGUGACCAAAUAAUGUGCUGACUGAGGGCCCUUGGUCAAUGAUUGUCCCCAUGGCUGAAGAGCUGAGAGGCCCAUUUCCAUGGUCACCACAAAAGUCUUCAUGGAUAGUGUGGUGCCGACACACCUACAGGUGCUCUGAAGUUCAUUGUCUCUGUGGCCUAUAGCAGGAGAAGCUGAACCCCCUGGCUGAUAUCAUGGAGGGGACUUUGUACAUGUCCCUGAUCCCACUUUACCAGCCUUGCAAAACCAGUGCCUAUCUCAACGUCCACCUCACCUGACUUGGAAGUUUGAAGAACCUCUGUCCCCAAGCCUCUUCUGUGCCUUGCCCAGCACACAUGGGACAGACAACUCCAUUGCAGGAGCUGUCAGGAGUCUGUUACACAGCAGAGCUGAAGCCCCUGAAACUUCACCUGGGACACAGGAAAGGCUAUGUUCCUUGCUCAAUACUUUCAUCAUGGAGCUAUCAGAGGAGAGGCUGUCCAGGGGAGGAUGCACAUCCCCCAUGGAGACUGGAAGGAGUGCUGCUGUUUCCCCCAGCUGCUAUUGUGAGGUGCAUCCAUUACUUCCUGCAUAAAUCCACAUUAAGGGAGUUUUCAUUGGGUCUGUGCUUGGAGGUAAGUGGGCAGAAGAGGAACAGAUUAUUCAGGGCGUGAGAAGGCAGACUGAAGAGGCUGGGUAUCAGGGAGCCUGAGAGGACAAAGAGCCAAGAAAAGAGACAGGCAGAUGAGCAGGGCAAGGUGACAUACUUUUGUUGGAAAUGCCAUUGGCUGCCAAUGGAAGAGCAGACGAAAUGAAAGCCACCCCAAGCUUGCUUUAGAGCUCCACUUCUUUGGUUUGCAAAUGUAAAAAUUGCCCAACAGGAACUUGUCUCUAAAUUGGUGCUUGGUCCUGCUUGGUCCCCAGCCAUGAAAUAGGACCCACGAAGCAUGAGGAUAAUAUUCUUUCUCAGCCCAGCCAAGCUCACCCUGGGGUAGCAGGGAGGUCAAGGACCACGGGGAAGGCUUCAUCCUGUUGAGUUCACCUGCAAGGCAGCUGACCGGGCAAGGGCUUUAGGGACUCUGGGAAGCAUAAUCCUGUAAUUGGGUUGAUAGUUCAAGGACACAGGUGCAUCUUUUCUCCCCAAAGGAUUGAGUUUGGUUGGAGAGAUGCGGCAAAUCGGAAAAUGAGAUUUAUGCUUUGUUAGUAAGAUUAGUCAUUGUUCACCUGGGCAACAGGUCAUGAAGAUCAAAAACACAUGCUCCAGGGUGGAAGGGGGGAGUCCAGACUCCUCACCAUCGAUUACCAAUUAAUAUUGACAGAACUCUCACCGUGGGGUGGGAGGCAGGUGUAACCAGGGCUUUCUCUAAAAUAACACUUUAGUGAGGAAGGG